rnacentral:rRNA from 1 species
GACGAACGCUGGCGGCGUGCUUAACACAUGCAAGUCGAACGGAAAGGCCCUGCUUUUGUGGGGUGCUCGAGUGGCGAACGGUGAGUAACACGUGAGUAACCUGCCCUUGACUUUGGGAUAACUUCAGGAAACUGGGGCUAAUACCGGAUAGGAGCUCCUGCUGCAUGGUGGGGUUGGAAAGUUUCGGCGGUUGGGGAUGGACUCGCGGCUUAUCAGCUUGUUGGUGGGGUAGUGGCUUACCAAGGCUUUGACGGGUAGCCGGCCUGAGAGGGUGACCGGCCACAUUGGGACUGAGAUACGGCCCCGACUCCUACGGGAGGCAGCAGUGGGGAAUAUUGCACAAUGGGCGGAAGCCUGAUGCAGCAACGCCGCGUGCGGGAUGACGGCCUCGGGUUGUAACCGCUUCGCCUGUGACGAAGCGUGAGUGACGGUAAUGGGUAAAGAAGCACCGGCUAACUACGUGCCAGCAGCCGCGGUAAU